UACGUAGGGUGCGAGCGUUGUCCGGAAUUACUGGGCGUAAAGAGCUCGUAAGUGGUUUGUCGCGUUGUUCGUGAAAACUCACAGCUUAACUGUGGGCGUGCGGGCGAUACGGGCAGACUGGAGUACUGCAGGGGAGACUGGAAUUCCUGGUGUAGCGGUGGAAUGCGCAGAUAUCAGGAGGAACACCGGUGGCGAAGGCGGGUCUCUGGGCCGAUACUGACGCUGAGGAGCGAAAGCGUGGGGAGCGAACAGG
rnacentral:rRNA from 1 species